GACCAACGCUGGCGGCGUGCUUAACACAUGCAAGUCGAACGGAAAGGCUCCAGCUUGCUGGAGUACUCGAGUGGCGAACGGGUGAGUAACACGUGGGUAAUCUGCCCUGCACUCUGGGAUAAGCCUGGGAAACUGGGUCUAAUACUGGAUAUGACCUUUCUCCUUAUGGGGUUUGGUGGAAAGUUUUUCGGUGUAGGAUGAGCCCGCGGCCUAUCAGCUUGUUGGUGGGGUGAUGGCCUACCAAGGCGACGACGGGUAGCCGGCCUGAGAGGGUGAUCGGCCACAUUGGGACUGAGAUACGGCCCAGACUCCUACGGGAGGCAGCAGUGGGGAAUAUUGCACAAUGGGCGGAAGCCUGAUGCAGCGACGCCGCGUGAGGGAUGACGGCCUUCGGGUUGUAAACCUCUUUCAGCAGGGACGAAGCGUAAGUGACGGUACCUGCAGAAGAAGCACCGGCUAACUAUGUG
rnacentral:rRNA from 1 species